CACCCCUCACCAGCCGCACCCACCGCACUCCUUUCUUGGAGUCAUGAAGUCACGAGUGCUUGGCGGUCGGAAUCCGGUGGCCUUGGCGGCACCAUGGAGGACCCUCCAUGGUGGACCUGUGGAGGUAGACUAUCAGGAUCCGGUGGGCCUUGACGAAGCAUCGAGGAGCAUCCAUGGUGGACCUUUGUGGAUCUAUGGAGGAAGGAGAUCCCUUCGUUCAGGUUCUCUAGGAUGGCGCAGGCACUAGCAUCUCCAGACGGUGGCGCAGGCCCAGGCGCUAGCACGAACAGAGGAGGCUCCGACUAGCAGAGGCACAGGUUUGAGCAGUAGUAGCUCCGACCAGUGGAGCAGGAAUGGGCGCAGGGUAGCUCUGUUCACAUCAUGAUUGGUUGAAGCAUGUGAUUUGGUGCCGGCGGCCACACGUUUGUUAUGUGCUCACAGACAUUCUUCAGGGCGCCAAUUGGAUUCAAUCAUCUGCGUGCAAAGAUGGAAGGUUUGUGAUGAAUGUCUGUGAGCAUAUAACAAACCACGCAAAUAUCUGCAAGGAUUUGUUGCUCGACAGCUUUACACUGCAUUAUUAGUUCUCUAGAAACUUUUUGGAGUAUCAGAUCCGUGAGAUUUUAUAGUUGUAGGAUGUAUGUGCUUGUUGCUAUGAUUAAAGAAUCGUCUGAGAGAAAAUUAGUAAAUAAUUUAUGCUUAUUGCAAUAUUUUUUUGUCUCUUGCGCGUGAAUGUCAAUAAUCUAUUCUAAGUGUUCUGCAUUUUUAAUCCACUAUUUCUGUAACAAGCGACAACCUGAUGAAUUUGACAUGUCCCUUUUUUUUUGCUAAGUGAGGCUUUGUUACUAGGGAUGUGGGCAACAGUAUGUUACCAACUGGUGAUCUGGUGAGGUGAGGUCCUGUCCUGAUGGCUGAUCUGUCGUCCCCAACUAUAGUGUUCUGAUCUGUUGAGGUCCUGCAACUGCAAGGUAUGCAACAAAAGCUUUAGUUUACUCGAGAGUAACACACUCUGCAACAACAGCUUUAGUAUUUGGUCUUUGGAAGUUAUAAUCAAGAGAAACAUGAGCCUAGUCUUUAGAGGUUAUACCUGUUGUGCAGUUUUUUUACUUUAGUGUACACCAUUACUGAGUUGCAACGGGUUGUACCUUGGGUUUGAACUUGUAUUCUCUUGUAAAGCAUUAUUUAUGAAUUAUGAAUGAGAAUUAUGUAUGGUUACUGUAAUUAUUUAAAUGGUUACAUGGUUUAUAAUAUGUUAUGAUUUUUAAAUGGGCUAGCCCAAAAUAUGGGCUUGAAUUGUAAUGUUGGGUUGUGAUGAAAAAAAUAAACAUCAAUUUGUAGAUGGGCCAAAAAACAUUUGGGCCAAUUGGGCUAGAUGUAAAUAAAAAUAAAAAAGACCCAAAUGUGAAUUGCCACGUCAUCUGCCAUGUCACCUGUCAUGUCAUAUGUGCCAUGUCAUUAUACACAUGGCGUUAUUUUGUUUAAUUUGUUAUGACGAGUUUAGUCUCGUCAUUACAUCGAUGACAAGAGAACUAUCGUCACUAUAUCGAUGACGAAGUCUUGUGGUGGUCAUAGAAGCUGCUUAGGGACCCACCUUCUGUGACGACAACCACUUCAUCAUUGUAGGCAGGUAGUGACAAGAAACAGGCUGCUAUCGUCAUAAUCUAAUUGUCACAGAAGCCCAGGAUUCUUGGGGGUGAGGUGCUUUUGGAUUUGUACUACGAGAAAAGCUGCUUUUGGGCAAAAGCACUUGUGGCUUUUGGGCCCUUUGGUUAGCUUUUGGCUUUUACAAAAGCAAAAGCAGAUUCAAAAGCCCAACCAAAGGGACCCUAAAGGUGGACCUUUAGUCCCGGUCCACGGAACCGGGACUAAAGGUGGGACAUUUAGUCCCGAAACCUUAGCCCCGGUUCUGUAGCCGGUACUAAAGACGCUUACGGCCCGGGGGCUAAAGCCCUUCCCUGUACUAGUGUCCAAUCGAAGAGGAUAGCAUCUCAGAGCAGGUCCCAACUGGUACAAGAAAAUGGAUAACAUGAGAGAGAUGGUGAUGCCCUAUUCAUCCAGUCACUCAAAAUACUUAAUUCGUUUUGAUAGAUAUGCAUAUCUCAUGUGUUUGAUUUGACAUUUUGAAUUUUCCAAUGCUUUACAACAAAAAAUAAAUUGUACCUAAUCGUUCUAUUUUUUCAUCCUAUUUACCAGAUCCGUCCAUCCCACCUUGCUUCUUAAAGGUUUGUCAGCUGCUGGAAUUUUUGAAGCUCGGCUCAACCUGAAGUGGGUAACAUGUAUGGUGAAAUCCUAGGUCCUGAUGUGAGAACCAACAGUGCACUCAUACAGGGGAUGACAUCUACAUUAUCAGUAGUUUCAGAGUUUGAAAUGCAAAAUCGGGUUAUAGACCCGUUGACUCCCGCUAUAUGGUUGAAUUUAUAGGUUGCACAAAAUGGUCUUUGCUGUCUCGGUGUGGGACUAUUCAUGUAAAAUAUAUAAGUACUAUUUGGACACCCUCUAUGUCUGAUAUAACAUAUAGGGUGUGAACAUCUUGCAGGUGUUAGAAAUUCAGCUUGAGAUUCGGCACGCAUGCAUGUUGUCGUUUGUUCAGCCUAACUGUGGUCUGGGUGGUGGAAACAAAAAC